rnacentral:rRNA from 1 species
UAGGGAAUCUUCCGCAAUGGACGCAAGUCUGACGGAGCAACGCCGCGUGAGUGAAGAAGGAUUUCGGUUCGUAAAACUCUGUUGUUAGAGAAGAACAGCGCAUAGAGUAACUGUUAUGCGUGUGACGGUAUCUAACCAGAAAGCCACGGCUAACUACGUGCCAGCAGCCGCGGUAAUACGUAGGUCCCGAGCGUUGUCCGGAUUUAUUGGGCGUAAAGCGAGCGCAGGCGGUUAGAAAAGUCUGAAGUGAAAGGCAGUGGCUCAACCAUUGUAGGCUAUGGAAACUGUUUAACUUGAGUGCAGAAGGGGAGAGUGGAAUUCCAUGUGUAGCGGUGAAAUGCGUAGAUAUAUGGAGGAACACCGGUGGCGAAAGCGGCUCUCUGGUCUGUAACUGACGCUGAGGCUCGAAAGCGUGGGGAGCGAACAGG